rnacentral:rRNA from 1 species
GACGAACGCUGGCGGCAUGCCUAACACAUGCAAGUCGAACGAAGGCUUCGGCCUUAGUGGCGCACGGGUGCGUAACGCGUGGGAAUCUGCCCUUGGGUUCGGAAUAACAGUGAGAAAUUACUGCUAAUACCGGAUGAUGACUUCGGUCCAAAGAUUUAUCGCCCAAGGAUGAGCCCGCGUAAGAUUAGCUAGUUGGUGAGGUAAAGGCUCACCAAGGCGACGAUCUUUAGCUGGUCUGAGAGGAUGAUCAGCCACACUGGGACUGAGACACGGCCCAGACUCCUACGGGAGGCAGCAGUGGGGAAUAUUGGACAAUGGGCGAAAGCCUGAUCCAGCAAUGCCGCGUGAGUGAUGAAGGCCUUAGGGUUGUAAAGCUCUUUUACCAGGGAUGAUAAUGACAGUACCUGGAGAAUAAGCUCCGGCUAACUCCGUGCCAGCCGCCGCCGUAAAAC